AGAGCAUAAGGCGGAUGCCUUGGCACUGGGAGCCGAUGAAGGACGUGACAAGCUGCGAUAAGCUACGGGGAGGAGCACAUAUCCGUCAAUCCGUAGAUUUCCGAAUGGGGGAACCCACCUAUAGUAAUGUGUAGGUAUUUUCGUAUGAAUCUAUAGUACGAAUAAAGGCAACCCGGGGAACUGAAACAUCUAAGUACCCGGAGGAAGAGAAAGAAAAAUCGAUUUCCUAAGUAGCGGCGAGCGAAAGGGAAAGAGGCCAAACCGUUAGUUUACUAACGGGGUUGUGGAUCACAGCCGUGGUAGAUACAAGUUUAGCAGAAGACAACUGGAAAGUUUGCGACACAGAGGGUAAUAUCCCCGUAUGCGAAAAAUGAGUAUCACCUAUGUGACACCAGAGUAGGACCGAACACGUGGAAUUCGGUUUGAAGCCGGGGGGCCCACCCCCCAAGCCUAAAUACUACCCAGUGACCGAUAGUGAAUAGUACCGUGAGGGAAAGGUGAAAAGGACCCCGGGAGGGGAGUGAAAUAGAACCUGAAACCUUAUGCUUACAAGCAGAGGGAGCGCAAGUGACCUCGUACUUUUUGUAGAACGGGCCAACGAGUUAUGGUAUGCAGCGAGGUUAAGGUGCUGGAGCACUGGAGCCGUAGAGAAAUCGAGUCUGAAAGGGCGAAAGUUGCAUGCUGUAGACCCGAAACCGGGUGAUCUAUCCAUGUCCAGGUUGAAGUAACUGUAAUAGGUUAUGGAGGACCGAACUUAUAUCUGUUGAAAAAGGUUAGGAUGAGGUGUGGAUAGGGGUGAAAUUCCAAUCGAACUCGGAUAUAGCUGGUUCUCCUCGAAAUAGCUUUAGGGCUAGCCUCGUAGUAAGAUACCUGGGGGUAGAGCACUGAAUGUUCUAGGGGCCUUCACCGGUUACCGAAAACUAUCAAACUCCGAAUACCAGAGUAUCAUCUACGGGAGUCAGACUAUGUGAGAUAAGUUUCAUAGUCGAAAGGGAAACAGCCCAGACCGUCAGCUAAGGUCCCAAAAUAUAGGUUAAGUGGAAAAGGAUGUGGGGUUGCACAGACAGCUAGGAUGUUGGCUUAGAAGCAGCCAUUCAUUCAAAGAGUGCGUAAUAGCUCACUAGUCGAGUGACCCUGCGCCGAAGAUAAACGGGGCUAAAACCUAUUACCGAAGCUACGGAUACUUAAUGUAUGGUAGAGGAGCGUCGUAUACGGGUUGAAGCAGUACUGUAAGGUAUUGUGGACUUUAUACGAGAGAGAAUGUUGGCAUGAGUAGCGCGAGGCAGGUGAGAAUCCUGCCCACCGAAAAUCUAAGGUUUCCUGAGGAAGGUUCGUCCACUCAGGGUUAGUCGGGGCCUAAGCCGAGGGCGAAAGCCAUAGGCGAUGGAUAACAGGUAGAAAUUCCUGUACCACCGAAGGUUGUUUGAAUGAUGUGGGGACACAGGAGGAUAAGCUGAGCACGCCGUUGGUAGAGCGUGUCCAAGCGUCAAGGGAGUAUGAAUAGGCAAAUCCGUUCAUAUAUAUUCUGAGGCGUGAUGGGGUGGUCAAUAGACCGGAAGCAGCUGAUUUCACACUGUCAAGAAAAGCCGCUAAUUAGACCUAAGGUGCCCGUACCGCAAACCGACACAGGUAGAUGAGGAGAGAAUCCUAAGGUGAGCGAGAGAACUAUUGUUAAGGAACUCGGCAAAAUAACCCCGUAACUUCGGGAGAAGGGGUGCCUGCUUCGGCAGGCCGCAGUGAAAAGGCCCAGGCAACUGUUUACCAAAAACACAGGUCUCUGCAAAAGCGAAAGCUGAAGUAUAGGGGCUGACGCCUGCCCGGUGCUGGAAGGUUAAGGGGACGUGUCAUCGCAAGAGAAGCACUGAACUUAAGCCCCAGUAAACGGCGGCCGUAACUAUAACGGUCCUAAGGUAGCGAAAUUCCUUGUCGGGUAAGUUCCGACCCGCACGAAAGGCGUAAUGAUCUGGGCACUGUCUCAACAAUAGACUCGGUGAAAUUGUAGUACCGGUAAAGAUGCCGGUUACCCGCAGCAGGACGGAAAGACCCCGUGGAGCUUUACUGUAGCUUGAUAUUGAGUUUCGGCGUUGCAUGUACAGGAUAGGUGGGAGACUAUGAAGCAAGUACGCCAGUAUUUGCGGAGUCAUCGUUGGGAUACCACCCUUGUAACGCUGGAAUUCUAACCAUGUACCGUGAACCGGUGCUGAGACAGUGUCAGGUGGGCAGUUUGACUGGGGCGGUCGCCUCCUAAAGAGUAACGGAGGCGUUCAAAGG
rnacentral:rRNA from 1 species